rnacentral:rRNA from 1 species
GGGUUGUGAGGUUAAGCGACUAAGCGUACACGGUGGAUGCCCUGGCAGUCAGAGGCGAUGAAGGACGUGCUAAUCUGCGAUAAGCGUCGGUAAGGUGAUAUGAACCGUUAUAACCGGCGAUUUCCGAAUGGGGAAACCCAGUGUGAUUCGUCACACUAUCAUUAACUGAAUCCAUAGGUUAAUGAGGCGAACCGGGGGAACUGAAACAUCUAAGUACCCCGAGGAAAAGAAAUCAACCGAGAUUCCCCCAGUAGCGGCGAGCGAACGGGGAGCAGCCCAGAGCCUGAAUCAGUGUGUGUGUUAGUGGAAGCGUCUGGAAAGGCGUGCGAUACAGGGUGACAGCCCCGUACACAAAAAUGCACAUGCUGUGAGCUCGAUGAGUAGGGCGGGACACGUGGUAUCCUGUCUGAAUAUGGGGGGACCAUCCUCCAAGGCUAAAUACUCCUGACUGACCGAUAGUGAACCAGUACCGUGAGGGAAAGGCGAAAAGAACCCCGGCGAGGGGAGUGAAAAAGAACCUGAAACCGUGUACGUACAAGCAGUGGGAGCACGCUUAGGCGUGUGACUGCGUACCUUUUGUAUAAUGGGUCAGCGACUUAUAUUCUGUAGCAAGGUUAACCGAAUAGGGGAGCCGAAGGGAAACCGAGUCUUAACUGGGCGUUAAGUUGCAGGGUAUAGACCCGAAACCCGGUGAUCUAGCCAUGGGCAGGUUGAAGGUUGGGUAACACUAACUGGAGGACCGAACCGACUAAUGUUGAAAAAUUAGCGGAUGACUUGUGGCUGGGGGUGAAAGGCCAAUCAAACCGGGAGAUAGCUGGUUCUCCCCGAAAGCUAUUUAGGUAGCGCCUCGUGAAUUCAUCUCCGGGGGUAGAGCACUGUUUCGGCAAGGGGGUCAUCCCGACUUACCAACCCGAUGCAAACUGCGAAUACCGGAGAAUGUUAUCACGGGAGACACACGGCGGGUGCUAACGUCCGUCGUGAAGAGGGAAACAACCCAGACCGCCAGCUAAGGUCCCAAAGUCAUGGUUAAGUGGGAAACGAUGUGGGAAGGCCCAGACAGCCAGGAUGUUGGCUUAGAAGCAGCCAUCAUUUAAAGAAAGCGUAAUAGCUCACUGGUCGAGUCGGCCUGCGCGGAAGAUGUAACGGGGCUAAACCAUGCACCGAAGCUGCGGCAGCGACACUAUGUGUUGUUGGGUAGGGGAGCGUUCUGUAAGCCUGCGAAGGUGUGCUGUGAGGCAUGCUGGAGGUAUCAGAAGUGCGAAUGCUGACAUAAGUAACGAUAAAGCGGGUGAAAAGCCCGCUCGCCGGAAGACCAAGGGUUCCUGUCCAACGUUAAUCGGGGCAGGGUGAGUCGACCCCUAAGGCGAGGCCGAAAGGCGUAGUCGAUGGGAAACAGGUUAAUAUUCCUGUACUUGGUGUUACUGCGAAGGGGGGACGGAGAAGGCUAUGUUGGCCGGGCGACGGUUGUCCCGGUUUAAGCGUGUAGGCUGGUUUUCCAGGCAAAUCCGGAAAAUCAAGGCUGAGGCGUGAUGACGAGGCACUACGGUGCUGAAGCAACAAAUGCCCUGCUUCCAGGAAAAGCCUCUAAGCAUCAGGUAACAUCAAAUCGUACCCCAAACCGACACAGGUGGUCAGGUAGAGAAUACCAAGGCGCUUGAGAGAACUCGGGUGAAGGAACUAGGCAAAAUGGUGCCGUAACUUCGGGAGAAGGCACGCUGAUAUGUAGGUGAAGCGACUUGCUCGUGGAGCUGAAAUCAGUCGAAGAUACCAGCUGGCUGCAACUGUUUAUUAAAAACACAGCACUGUGCAAACACGAAAGUGGACGUAUACGGUGUGACGCCUGCCCGGUGCCGGAAGGUUAAUUGAUGGGGUCAGCGCAAGCGAAGCUCUUGAUCGAAGCCCCGGUAAACGGCGGCCGUAACUAUAACGGUCCUAAGGUAGCGAAAUUCCUUGUCGGGUAAGUUCCGACCUGCACGAAUGGCGUAAUGAUGGCCAGGCUGUCUCCACCCGAGACUCAGUGAAAUUGAACUCGCUGUGAAGAUGCAGUGUACCCGCGGCAAGACGGAAAGACCCCGUGAACCUUUACUAUAGCUUGACACUGAACAUUGAGCCUUGAUGUGUAGGAUAGGUGGGAGGCUUUGAAGUGUGGACGCCAGUCUGCAUGGAGCCGACCUUGAAAUACCACCCUUUAAUGUUUGAUGUUCUAACGUUGACCCGUGAUCCGGGUUGCGGACAGUGUCUGGUGGGUAGUUUGACUGGGGCGGUCUCCUCCUAAAGAGUAACGGAGGAGCACGAAGGUUGGCUAAUCCUGGUCGGACAUCAGGAGGUUAGUGCAAUGGCAUAAGCCAGCUUGACUGCGAGCGUGACGGCGCGAGCAGGUGCGAAAGCAGGUCAUAGUGAUCCGGUGGUUCUGAAUGGAAGGGCCAUCGCUCAACGGAUAAAAGGUACUCCGGGGAUAACAGGCUGAUACCGCCCAAGAGUUCAUAUCGACGGCGGUGUUUGGCACCUCGAUGUCGGCUCAUCACAUCCUGGGGCUGAAGUAGGUCCCAAGGGUAUGGCUGUUCGCCAUUUAAAGUGGUACGCGAGCUGGGUUUAGAACGUCGUGAGACAGUUCGGUCCCUAUCUGCCGUGGGCGCUGGAGAACUGAGGGGGGCUGCUCCUAGUACGAGAGGACCGGAGUGGACGCAUCACUGGUGUUCGGGUUGUCAUGCCAAUGGCACUGCCCGGUAGCUAAAUGCGGAAGAGAUAAGUGCUGAAAGCAUCUAAGCACGAAACUUGCCCCGAGAUGAGUUCUCCCUGACUCCUUGAGAGUCCUGAAGGAACGUUGAAGACGACGACGUUGAUAGGCCGGGUGUGUAAGCGCAGCGAUGCGUUGAGCUAACCGGUACUAAUGAACCGUGAGGCUUAACCUUACAACGCCGAAGGUGUUU